GAUGAACGCUGACAGAAUGCUUAACACAUGCAAGUCAACUUGAACUUCGGUUUGGGUGGCGGACGGGUGAGUAACGCGUAAAGAACUUGCCUCACAGUUAGGGACAACAUUUGGAAACGAAUGCUAAUACCUGAUAUUAUGAUUUUAGGGCAUCCUAGAAUUAUGAAAGCUAUAUGCGCUGUGAGAGAGCUUUGCGUCCCAUUAGCUAGUUGGAGAGGUAACGGCUCACCAAGGCGAUGAUGGGUAGCCGGCCUGAGAGGGUGAACGGCCACAAGGGGAGUGAGACACGGCCCUUACUCCUACGGGAGGCAGCAGUGGGGAAUAUUGGACAAUGGACCAAGAGUCUGAUCCAGCAAUUCUGUGUGCACGAUGAAGUUUUUCGGAAUGUAAAGUGCUUUCAGUUGGGAAGAAAAAAAUGACGAUACCAACAGAAGAAGUGACGGCUAAAUACGUG
rnacentral:rRNA from 1 species